UGGCGCGUCUGGCGGGGGUCUCCGCGUCCACCGCCUCGCGCGCGCUGAACAACCACCCGCAGGUCGCCGCCGCGACGCGGGAGC
rnacentral:tRNA from 1 species